UAGCAAUACCGCGAAAAGUCUAGUGGCGAACGGGUGCGUAACACGUGGGCAAUCUGCCUUAAAGUGGGGGAUAGCUCGGCGAAAGCCGAAUUAAUACCGCAUGUGAUUAGAGGGGACAUCCCUUCCAAAUCAAAGCCGGGGCAACCUGGCGCUUUUUGUGGAGCCCGCGGCCUAUCAGCUUGUUGGUGAGGUAACGGCUCACCAAGGCUUUGACGGGUAGCUGGUCUGAGAGGACGACCAGUCACACUGGAACUGAGACACGGUCCAGACACCUACGGGUGGCAGCAGUCGAGAAUUUUUGACAAUGGGGGAAACCCUGAUCGAGCGACGCCGCGUGGAGGAUGAAGGUCUUCGGGUUGUAAACUCCUGUCAUUUGGGAACAAGCGGCUCACCGUAACUGCGUGAGUCUUGAUAGUAGCAGAAGAGGAAGAGACGGCUAACUCUGUGCCAGCAGCCGCGGUAAUACAGAGGUCUCAAGCGUUGUUCGGAUUCAUUGGGCGUAAAGGGUGCGUAGGCGGCGCGGUAAGUCGGGUGUGAAAUUUCGGAGCUUAACUCCGAAACUGCAUUCGAUACUGCCGUGCUCGAGGACUGGAGAGGAGACUGGAAUUCACGGUGUAGCA
rnacentral:rRNA from 1 species